rfam:Salmo salar isolate Sally breed double haploid chromosome ssa12, whole genome shotgun sequence.
UACAUUCACUACUGUAAGUCACUCUGGAUAAGAGCGUCUGCUAAAUGAUGUAAA